rnacentral:sRNA from 3 species
UUGACAAUCUUAUCGUGAAGGCAUACUUUCAGGAGUGAGGGUAGAGCGGGGUUUCCCCCGCCCUGGUAGUCUUAGUAAGCGGGGAAGCUUAUGACUAAGAGCACCACGAUGAUGAUCCACUUCAUCAUGACCCUUUCCUUAUU